rnacentral:lncRNA from 1 species
ACACACACAGAGAGGCAGAGACACAGGCAGAGGGAGAAGCAGGCUCCCAGUCGGACCCCGAUGCGGGAUGUGCGAUCCCAGGAUUCCAGGAUCAUGACUUGAGCUAAAGGCAGAUGCUCAACCACUGAGCCACUCAGGUGUCCCCCUCUACUUAAGCUUACAAUUAGGUGAGGGGUAUUUAACCUGUUAACUCAAUUACAACCCGACCCACAGAGUAAAAAAAAAAAAAAAAACAAUUCAGUAAGGGAGGGCUCAGAAGGAAGGGAUUUUUGCCUAGGGCUGCACUGUCCAAUACGGUCCCAGUGAAAUUAUUAAAAUAAAAAAUUCAGUUCCUCGGUCACACUCACCACAGGUCAAGUGCUCAAAUCACAAGAGGCUAGUGACCACAGAGGUCUACUGGCCAACACUGGGCUAGAGGCACCAAGAAGGAGAAGACAUUUACAGCUAGAUGGGUGAGCGAGAAAGCUGUCCCGGGCAGACCUGGGCAAAAGCAGUCAAGAUGAAGAACGUUCACGAAUCUGAAAAUGGACCAAAUCUGGCUAGUUUGAACCCCGGGCAUUAGAGCCUUGAACCAAUGACUCCAAACAAGAACAGUGUUCUGCAAUCAAGCUCUUUGGGUUCAAAUCCCAGCUCUGUCACUAAACAGGACCUGGGCAAAUUAUUUCUAGGACUUGGGUCUCUUCACCUGCCCGAUGGGGAUACCACUCCCUACACCUUGGGGGCUUGUUGUAAGAACUAAAUGCAAUAACACGCAUAGAAAGGCCUUAUUCUAACGCCCAUCACAUAGAAGUUGCACAAUAAAAUGAAAGCUAUCAUCAUCAUCAUCAUCAUCAUCAUCACUACUCCAACACCUGUUGGAGGAAGCUGCGAAAGUGUAAUUACCCGUGUGGCUCCUCUGGUGGAUUGCCAAAAAGUGAUUAUACUUAAACACUUUGCCACAGUCCUUACAGCAGGCCUCGGGGCCACCGGGGCGCUUUCUCCUUCCACAGACCCUUUUGGCUGAACCCUGCUCGUCUUCAUCCCCGACAAGUUUGUAAUCUUUAAGUUUGACGGACCUCCUGAUCCUCCGCUUGCUGUACCGACUCUGGCUAUCCUGCCCAUCCUGGGUCUUGGGGUCACAGUUCUCAUCUUUCUCAGCAGGCAUUUCCUCCCCUCUACCUGGCUCACAGGCCGACUCAGAAUCCUCCAUUUCUUUUGCUGGAAUCUGGUCAUUCAGCAAGCCACUCUCUCCCUCUUUGACCACAAAGUUAUGCCUAUUUUGAACGGAGUUGUUUACCCUCAGCUGUAUUUCUUCCUCUGCAGCCAGCUGUGAUUUCCCCUCCUGCAAACUGUUGACUUUUCUCGGUCUUCCCCGUUUCCGUUUUGGGGGGUCGUUCUUCUUAUUAGAAAUAACCACCACUGGAGUGCUGCCGGUGUUCAGAGUCGAUGGCUUCGGGGAGCUGUGAUUAUUCUGGAAAUCUGUGUAAGCCUUUACCAGGUCAUAGACUUUUAAGAACUGAGCGGUGGCCAGGAUUUGUUCUGUACUUUUCUCACUGGCCUGGAGACAACCCGUGU